UAAGGUACCGUCAGGUCCAGGGCAUUACCUCCCCGAACGUUUCUUCCCUCAGAAAAGAGCUUUACGACCCAAGGCCUUCAUCACUCACGCGGCAUGGCUGCGUCAGGCUUUCGCCCAUUGCGCAGUAUUCCCU
rnacentral:rRNA from 1 species